GCUGAGCUCAAGAACAGUAUAGCCGAGAGAGGCUUCUCCAGCUGGCCCUGGUCCCCAUCUCUAAACAGAACAGAACCUGCUUCAACUUAGCACCGUCGACACAUUCAUUCGUUCAUUCGUUUUGCCGACAUGUGUUUAUUGAAAGCUUACUACGAGCCGGGUUCCUGGCACAUUCGGAUGAGGAGGAUGUAGUCUGUGGCCUCCAAAAGCGACUGAACAAGCAAGACCUAUUCCUAGAGACAACUGAGCCUCACUAAACAUCAGUGUGACAAGGACAGUAAUGGAGGUCAGCCAAGCCUGGGUGUCUCCUGUUCAUUCAGCAAAAGACCUCAUCCCGGAACAAGCGUGCAAAAGGAGACAGGGCAGGAUUCCAAACCGGCUGUUCAACAACCUAUGGACAGCUAUGUCGAAACAGGAUUGGACAACAAAGGCUGAUAGACUGAAUGGCAAAACCCAGCCAGGCCUGUCCGUCUAGAUUCUUCUUAGCCUCUCCA